AUACGUAGGGGGCGAGCGUUGUCCGGAAUGAUUGGGCGUAAAGGGCGCGUAGGCGGCCUGUUAAGUCUGGAGUGAAAGUCCUGUUUUCAAGAUGGGAAUUGCUUUGGAUACUGAUGGGCUUGAGUGCAGGAGAGGUUAUCGGAAUUCCCGGUGUAGCGGUGAAAUGCGUAGAGAUCGGGAGGAACACCAGUGGCGAAGGCGGGUAACUGGACUGCAACUGACGCUGAGGCGCGAAAGUGUGGGGAGCAAACAGGAUUAGAUACCCUGGUAGUCCACAUUGUAAACGAUGAAUUCUAGGUGUAAGAGGUAUCGACCCCUUCUGUGCCGCAGUCAACACAAUAAGCAUUCCGCCUGGGGAGUACGGCCGCAAGGUUGAAACUCAAAUGAAUUGACGGG
rnacentral:rRNA from 1 species